rnacentral:rRNA from 1 species
GACGAACGCUGGCGGCGUGCUUAACACAUGCAAGUCGAACGAAGAGCGAUGGAAGCUUGCUUCUAUCAAUCUUAGUGGCGCACGGGUGAGUAACGCGUAAUCAACCUGCCCUUCAGAGGGGGACAACAGUUGGAAACGACUGCUAAUACCGCAUACGAUCUAAUCUCGGCAUCGAGGAUAGAUGAAAGGUGGCCUCUACAUGUAUGCUAUCACUGAAGGAGGGGAUUGCGUCUGAUUAGCUAGUUGGAGGGGUAACGGCCCACCAAGGCGAUGAUCAGUAGCCGGUCUGAGAGGAUGAACGGCCAAAUUGGGACUGAGACACGGCCCAGAAUCCUACGGGAGGCAGCAGUGGGGAAUCUUCCGCAAUGGACGAAAGGCUGACGGAGCAACGCCGCGGGAGUGAUGACGGCCUUCGGGUUGUAAAGCUCUGUUAAUCGGGACGAAAGGCCUUCUUGCGAAUAGUGAGAAGGAUUGACGGUACCGGAAUAGAAAGCCACGGCUAACUACGUG